UUUUUCUCAGUCAUGGAGGGCAGAGAGAAGAGAGCGCUUCACUUCUUGAUCUUCGCUGCUUAUCUCGUGGUCUCAUCUUCACCUUCUGCAGGUCUGAUCAGAUUAGCUGGAUCUGGGUCCACUCAGUGCUCUGGAAGAGUUGAAAUCUAUAACUCUUACUCUUACCCUUACUAUUCCUGGGGAACAGUGUGUGAUGAUGGCUGGGACUUACAAGAUGCUGAG